GACGAACGCUGGCGGCGUGCUUAACACAUGCAAGUCGAACGCUGAGGCCCAGCUUGCUGGGUGGAUGAGUGGCGAACGGGUGAGUAACACGUGAGUAACCUGCCCCCUUCUUUGGGAUAACGCCCGGAAACGGGUGCUAAUACUGGAUAUUCACUGAUCUUCGCAUGGGGGUUGGUGGAAAGGUUUUUUCUGGUGGGGGAUGGGCUCGCGGCCUAUCAGCUUGUUGGUGGGGUGAUGGCCUACCAAGGCUUUGACGGGUAGCCGGCCUGAGAGGGUGACCGGUCACAUUGGGACUGAGAUACGGCCCAGACUCCUACGGGAGGCAGCAGUGGGGAAUAUUGCACAAUGGGCGAAAGCCUGAUGCAGCGACGCCGCGUGAGGGAUGACGGCCUUCGGGUUGUAAACCUCUUUCGCUCAUGGUCAAGCCGCAGCUUUGGGUUGUGGUGAGGGUAGUGGGUAAAGAAGCGCCGGCUAACUACGUGCCAGCAGCCGCGGUAAUACGUAGGGCGCGAGCGUUGUCCGGAAUUAUUGGGCGUAAAGGGCUUGUAGGCGGUUGGUCGCGUCUGCCGUGAAAUCCUCUGGCUUAACUGGGGGCGUGCGGUGGGUACGGGCUGACUUGAGUGCGGUAGGGGAGACUGGAACUCCUGGUGUAGCGGUGGAAUGCGCAGAUAUCAGGAAGAACACCGGUGGCGAAGGCGGGUCUCUGGGCCGUUACUGACGCUGAGGAGCGAAAGCGUGGGGAGCGAACAGG
rnacentral:rRNA from 1 species